CCUACGGGAGGCAGCAGUGGGGAAUAUUGGACAAUGGGCGAAAGCCUGAUCCAGCAAUUCCGCGUGUGUGAAGAAGGCCUUCGGGUUGUAAAGCACUUUAGUUGGGGAAGAAACAGCUUGGCCACACCAAGCCUUGACGGUACCCAAAGAAUAAGCACCGGCUAACUCUGUGCCAGCAGCCGCGGUAAUACAGAGGGUGCAAGCGUUAAUCGGAUUUACUGGGCGUAAAGGGUGCGUAGGUGGUUUUGUAAGUCGGAUGUGAAAGCCUGGGGCUCAACCUCAGAAUUGCACUCGAUACUGCAAGACUAGAGUUCGGUAGAGGGCGGCGGAAUUCCCGGUGUAGCGGUGAAAUGCGUAGAUAUCGGGAGGAACAUCAAUGGCGAAGGCAGCCGCCUGGGCCUGAACUGACACUGAGGCACGAAAGCGUGGGUAGCAAACAGGAUUAGAUACCCUGGUAGUCCACGCUGUAAACGAUGAGAACUUGACGUUGGUUCGUUUUACGAAUCGGUGUCGCAGCUAACGCGAUAAGUUCUCCGCCUGGGGAGUCGGCCGCAAGGUUGAAACUUAAGGAAUUGACGG
rnacentral:rRNA from 1 species